CAAAUUUUGUAAUGAAAAGUAAUAAAAACAUAUUUUUAUAGAGCAAAUUAGGAAAUCGAGAUUCAAGGAAUUAAACAUUAAUAUAGGAACAGCUAGGGCCGUUAAGACUGUAUCCGUGCGCAUGUCUAUGAUAUUGAUAACUAUAGAAUAACUAUAGAUAACUAUAUUUAAAUAUAAUACUAAAGUGAUUUGAUCCGGUUUUAUAAAUUAUUUGGUCUGAAUAAUGGGUAGAAGUUUGAAAAUUACUCGUCUACAUCUUUAGAUU